CGGCACCUGGAUCUGCUCCGUCCGGUCCCCCAGCUGCGAGAACAUGAGCCCGUACACCGUCCACGCCGCCGGGUCCGCCCAGUACACCCACCGCCACCACACCGGCAUCAUCUGCACCACCAAACCAUUCCCCUUCCUCAGGGAGGGGUACCUCUCUCGCGAUGAUGAAGCCGGAGAAGACGUUCCAGAAGAUGAAGAUGAGGAACGACAGGCCCAUGGCGAUCUCGAUGUUGGGGGUCAGCGCCACCGUCAUCAUCCCGUACAGCGUGUAGUACAUGAAGCUCAUCACCAGGUACAGGAAGAACCACAAGAACUUGCCCGCCGCCAGCUCGAACCCGAUCAUCGGGUACACGAUCCACGAGAAGAUCAGCACCUGCACCAGCAUCUUCAUUUUUCCUUCCUUGAAGGCUGGAACGUUACCUGAGCAAUGGCGUAGGCCAUGGUGGAGUACAUGCCCGCCGCCUUCUCACGGUAGAGCACGACUCUCUCGGUUGCCACCACCGGCUGCAGGAUGCUGCAAUUCAUGAAGCCCAGGAACAGUGCUGACGCAUAUACGAUCCCAAACAACAGUUCGGCCAGUGUCUACUGUCUUUCGUACUGUUCUCAUGACAAUUGCUGCAGCACGAGCAUCCAAGCCAGUGGUUGGCUCAUCCAUAAAUAUAAUAGAGGGACUAGCUACCAGCUCCACAGCUAUUGUUAAUCUUUUCCGCUGCUCAGCUGACAGGCCCGUUGCCCCUGGAAUUCCCACCAUGGCAUUCUUCAACUCUGUGAGUUCAACUAGACUCAUGACUUCGUCGAUAAACAUCUGAAAUGAAUUUGAAGAGAAAUAUUGUGUCAGAUGUUAUCUUCUAGCAAUGGCAAAGAGGGGUGGGGGAGGUUCAUAAACAUACGUCUCUUUGAUGAGGUUUAACAUUUGAAGGCAGGCGAAGCCAUGCAGAAAACUUCAGUGACUCAUAAACAGUCAGAUUAGGGGAGUGAAUAUCACUCUGUUCACAGUAACCUGAGAUCCUUGAGAAUGUCUCCUGCUUCUUAGGGUAACCUGCUAUUUUAAUAGUCCCUUCAAUAUAUCCCCCGGUUUUUCUUCCAGCUAAUACAUCUAGCAAUGUUGUCUUGCCAGCACCAGUUAUUCCCAUUAGAGCUGUUAGCACUCCUGGCCUAAAAGCACCGCUGACAUCUUGUAGCAGCUGAAGUUUUUUCUCCGUUACUCCAUUUUUUGUCAUCUCCUGGUGGGAUAUUUGUACGCUUUUCUUCAAUAUUGGUGAUUGGAAUUGAUGCAGCUACUGGCUAAGGUUUGAAGUAGUCAAGGGAUUACCUUAGGCAUGUCAACGAAAUAGUUGAUGUGAUCAAAUACAAGGGAGAGGGGUCGAAAUGGGAGGAUAACUUGAUCAUUUGACGAAUUGCCAUUCACAACCAUCUGGCUGUGGUACUCGAAAUUUGCCUUAGUGGUCUUGAUGUUAACUUGAUGCUUGUGUGGAGCUGCAAGUAGUAAACAAGACAUAUAAUUAUCUUUUUCAUUUAUAUUCAAAAUAUUUUUAAGGUUCGUGAUAGAUUAGUAUACAUACAGCUCAUGAACUCUAAUGCCAAUAUGCUGAGAAUGUUGAAGACCAGCGAGUAUCCAAAUAAAAUACUGACACAAAUCCAGUACCACUGCCAUUCCGUGAGCAGCCCCCUGAUCCUGAGGAUAGCUUCACCGACGGUGUUUGCAUCAGCAUAAUAAAAUUCCUAUCAACACCAAAGAUCAAGAACCUUAGUGUAAUUUGGAAAAGGAUAUGCUAGCAUAUAGUUAGCAAGUCCAAGUGUUGAAAUUAGUGCUUACUGUAGCCCAUCUUUUGUCAUGAAAUUCAUUGAGGGCAAUCGCAUUCUGUGCAUAGGUGAACGGGGACGUCCAAUAUCCCCAGCGCAACCAUGGUUGGAGAUCAUCUGUUGAAUUUACAUAACUGCAUCUUGGAAGAGAAGUCGAUCGUCUCUCUUACUGUCAUCUCAGCAUGGUGGAGAUCAUACUGGCUAACAUAAGCACGCAGGGCCGGAUCAUUGUUGCUGCCGCCAUUGACACCGUUCAUGAGGUUGGAGGGGGACGGAUCUAGAAUUGAAGAUGCUCGCAGCCGCACACAGGACGCCAGCUUAUGAUUGCCGUUCACUCUUGAGACUGGCUGACCUAACCAGACAUGGGUUGAAGGCUGAACCUAACCAGGGCCCCAGCUGGGUGGCUGUCUGCGUCUGGCUACGAGGCUGUGCGCCACUGUCUCCGUCGAAAAUCUCAGGACAUGGGGCCUGUCGCGAGAGCUUUGAUAUGCAUCGGAGGGCCUGCCCGCCCAUGACACUGCUCCAUCGAUCACUUGUGUUAAUUUAUGAUACAGCAUAUAUUUAUAUCUGGUCAUCUGGAGAUGUGGUCCCGUGUGUGACAUAGAUACACAGUUAUAGCAUGACGCAGCAGCUCCCGCUGAUGCUUGACAGGACACUCUGCUUGUCCUACGUGAAGAAAUCCUCGGAUUUUCAGGUACCGGACGUUAUUGUGUUCCAGACACUACAA